rnacentral:tRNA from 1 species
GCGUCCGUAGCUCAGUUGGUUAGAGCACCACCUUGACAUGGUGGGGUCGAUGGUUCGAGUCCAUUCGGACGCACCA